AUAUGGAAUGAGAGUGAAAAUUGCAUUGGAAGAGAAGGGAGUCUCAUAUGAGUGUAGACAAGAAGAUUUUCAAGAUAAAAGCUCUUUGCUUUUAGAGAUGAACCCGGUUUACAAAAUGAUACCGGUUUUGGUUCAUAAUGGAAAACCUAUAUGUGAAUCACUUAAUAUAGUUGAGUACAUUGAUGAAGCUUGGAACCAAAAACCUUCUCUUUUGCCCUCGGACCCUUACAAACGAUCACAAGCCAAGUUUUGGGGAGAUUACAUUGACAAACAUGUAAGUUACUUACAUUACUAUGUGUGUUAUUAUUUUUGGUUAGUCGUGCUAUUGGUGUGAAGUAUCCAGCACCUUUGUCAGACUAAUUUCCGCCGGAGAUUAUAGCUAGCCACUUUUAGUGGGUUUCCACUCUCAACUACAUUUUUUCGUCCAUAUUAAUACUUAAGUAGAUACAUAUGUAUGAAAUAACAUCCGUUGAAAAAGAAAAUAGGUCUUUCAUAAAAAUAAAAUAAAACAAGUUCAUAAGUAGAUUUGAGUUCAACCAUAAAAAGUGUACCAUAUUUGGUCUAACACUAUAUUAUUUGAUCUUUGUUACUCCCAUUUUUGUAUUAUAUCCAUUCAAGCCCAAGUGGCUAACAAUUUAUACAGUUUACAUGAGAGGACACACUAGAAAUAUAGAAUAAAGUAAAUAUUUGUGUUUUUACCAAACAUAUAAUUUUUUUAAAGAGUUGAUUCAUAGGGUAUCAUGGUUUAAUUUAUUGGAUUCUAAUUGAUGUAGGUAUACAACAUUGGAAAGAAGGUGUGGACAGGAAAGGGUGAAGAACAAGAAGAGGGUAAAAAGAAGUUUAUAGAAUGCUUGAAGACUCUAGAAGAUGAGCUUGGAGACAAGCCAUAUUUUGGUGGAGAUGAGUUUGGGUAUGUUGAUGUGGCUCUUAUACCCUUCACUGGUUGGUUUUACACUUACGAGACAUAUGGGAAAUUAAGCAUUGAGAAAGAGUGUCCUAAGCUUGUAGCUUGGGCCAAAAGGUGUAUGAAAAAAGAGAGUGUGGCAAAAUCACUUCCUCACCCUCACAAAAUCUAUGGUUUUGCAAUGCAAUAUAAACAGAAACAUGGACUUGAAUAGAGAUUGUUGGGGAUUGCAUGGGAACCGGAGGAGAAACUAUGUGUGGAGAAUAAUCUAUUGUUAAGCUUAUGUUUAUUAUGGUCCGGGCAAACAAUUGUGUAGCUUAUGGAACAAGCGCUUAUGUAUAAGUUUGCAUAAGUUAUUUUGAAAUGGAAAUAAUGUGUUAUUGGUUGGGAGUGUCAAAAUAAAAGUUACAUUGUAACAAAAAAAAAAAGUUACACUUAUAAGCAUCGAAAUUAAUCUUAAUAUGUACGUUUGGAUAGCCAAAAAUGAUUUUGAAGACUUAACUUGGUUUUAGUUUGAUUAGUAGUUCUUGACUAGAAUUGUUUUUCCUUUCCUUUUCUAGAAUUAAUUAUAAGAUUUUUAAGUGAACUAAUACACUCAGGGGUGUGUUUGUUUCAAGUUUACCAAAUUUAUUUUUAGGAAUAACAUUCUUUCGAACAUAAAUAUGAGAAUUUUAUUUUAAGGUAUUUAGAAAAAAAAAAAAUAUUUGCUUAACAUUAUAAUAUUCCUAGAAAUCAUAAAAAUAUGGAUUAUAACAGGUAAUUACACAUGAAUUUGUUCUCAUCUUCAUGAGAAUUUUAUUCCCACCCUUUUCUUUGGGAAAAUUUUCCUAUUUCGAUGAACGUUUUAUACUCGGGAAUAAAAUUUAGUAAACUUAUAGCAAACAUAGACAUUUAUAUUUCUAUCAUUUUAUUCCCAUAAAUUUAUGAAUAUAACUUGAAACAAACACACUCUCAAAUUUAUUAUUUCACUCAACGUUUUUUUUUUUUAAGGUCAUACAAAAAAACAAAAGCUAACUAGAAAUUAAAAACAUCAAAGUUGAGCAGUGUAUAAACAUAAAUUAUUUUACCUUAAACAAACUUUUGACUAAAAUUAGUUUCACAAAAUUAAACAAUUUAUCACAUUUUUCAACAUUCACUCAACCUUUAAUUUUCUUUUUAUCUGUUUAUUUAUAUUACAUUAUCAAUCUAUCACAUUUUUUACAUCACCCACUAUUUUCCUCUCCACGUGUACCUAUAGAUAUUCUCCUUUAUCUUGAUAUUCAACGGUCAACACUGCUACAUCCCGGGUCAACUACAUUUUCAUAAAAAUUGACCAAUUAGAUAAUAAUUUAUGAGGAAAUAGUCAUUUUAAUCCUUGAUUUUACACCUAACUGUCAUUUUAAUCUCCGAUCCAGGAUAAAAUACAAUAAAGUCUUUGAAUGUCUAUCUCUGUUAUCGGUUUAGUUCUUACCGUUAAAAACUUCUGUUAAAUGGUGAUGUGUCAAUUAUAAGGAUCAAAUUGAAAGUGAACUUUUUUUUAUUAUGAGAAAAAAAGAAAAAAUUAUUUUUUAUUUAUGAUAAGAAAAAAAAUCAGUUUAGUCCUUGUCAUUGGCUCUGAGAAUUUUUUUUUUACAAAAAAAAUAUAUAUUUUUUUUAAUAAAAAAAAAAAUUAAAAGCAUUUAAGCCAAGAAAGAAAAAGCAUUAUAUGUCUAUGACUAAAACAUUAUCUUUAACAAAAAGAGUAAGGACUGAUGCCCUUUCAUAAUUUUCUUGGGUAGUUUCAGUCAAUGAUAACAUAAAGAAUGAAAUAAUUUUCAAAUUAGUUUUAAAAAAAGAGUAAGGACUUAUGUCUUUCACAAUUUUCUUGGUCAGUUUCAGUCCCAAUAAAAAAGAACACAAAAAAGUGACCUAAGCAAUGACUCUAUCAAUGUAUAGUUUAUAAUUAUAAACUUUCCACGCUUUAUUUCGUGUCAAACAAGAAAUGCACAACUAUAUAUAAAUAAUCCAAACACCACAAAGAUCUUAAUCAUCUAACAAUGCAAUGAGUCAAUACAUGGAUAAGGACAGUGUGGUUUUGUUGGAUUUUUGGCCAAGCGUAUAUGGAAUGAGAGUGAAAAUUGCUUUGGAAGAGAAGGGAGUCUCAUAUGAAUGUAGACAAGAAGAUUUUCAAGAUAAAAGCUCUAUGCUUUUAGAGAUGAACCCGGUUUACAAAAUGAUACCGGUUUUGGUUCAUAAUGGAAAACCUAUAUGUGAAUCACUUAAUAUAGUUGAAUACAUUGAUGAAGCUUGGAAUCACAAACCUUCUCUUUUGCCCUUAGACCCUUACAAGCGAUCACAAGCUAAGUUUUGGGGAGAUUACAUUGACAAACAUGUAAGUUAAUAUAUAGCUUUAUCUAUUUUAGAGUGAUGUAUUUGUAUGUUUUUAUAUAUGGAUCGUUCAACCUCCCAAUCUAAACUUUCAGAGACAAUUUUUAUAUACAUUUAAGCCCUAAUUUUUUUUGGUUAACCUUACUAUUAUUAGUGUGAAGUAUCCUCCGAUUUUGUCUUACUAAUCUCCUUUUGAGAAUUUGGCUAGCCAUAUUUAUGGAGUCUCCACUUUCAGCUAUAUUCGGAAAAUAUUUGAGUGAUUUUAAAAUUUGAUGGUUUUAGUGUAUUUUAGAUGAAAGAUAAUGAUGGAUUAAAAUAAAUUAUUUUGAUGAGAAAUAAUUAUUAGUUAAAACAGAGAUAGAGACGAAAUCAUCAAACACAAAGUCACCAAAGUAUAACCCACUAUAUUUUCUAUCCAUAAUGUUUAAGAAUAUAUAUAUAUAUAUAUAUAUAUGAAAGAAUGUCUCUUGAAAAACAAAAUAUAUUGUCCUUUCAUAAAAAUAAAAUAAAAACAUUUUUAUUUAAGAUGUGUUUGGUUAUGCGGUAACACAAAUUGAUUUUGAAUGAAUUUAUUUUAUAAAAUUGAUUAUGACUAAAAGUUAGUUGAAUAUAAAAUAAUAUAUGUUUGAAUAUAUUAUUGCAGUGUCGGCCCAAGGGUAAGACUCUCGCUUUAGGCUCACAACAACAACAAAAAAAUCAUUAGAUUAUACAAGCAAAAUGACAUCAUAUUCUAAUAAAAAUGAAGCAACAUAUAUUCAACCUUGUUUUAUGCCUCACUAAAUAUUAAAAAUUAUUGGAUUGUCCCUUUAUUCAUUUAAAAGUGGAUUACAUAAUAAAUUCAAGGCUCUUGACCCAAAAAUGAAAAAAUCAAGGCUACAAUCAAUUGUAAAAGCCAAAAACUAUAAGUUAUAGUAAAAUCAAUUCGACAUGUAAAAUCAAUUAUUCUUGAACAUGUUAGGAAACAUGAUAUCCAAUGAAGGAAUGAGAGAAAACUCAAAUAAUCUUUGUAUUGAUGAUAAAGUGAAUAUUACAAAUGAGUGAAUUGACCCACUAAUGGGGUGGCUACAACUAUAUAUACUACUAUAGGACUAUUUACUACUUGAAGUUAAACUAUAUCUCUAAUAGAACACAUUGAACCGUGUCAAAGUCAAUUCUAUAUCUUUAAAAUCAAAUUUAACCUCUCCAAAAUUGAAAUCAAACAUACACGUAAUUUGGGUUCGUCAUAAAUAUUGAACAAUAUUUUAUCAACUAGUAUAUAAUUUGAUCUUUGUUACUCUCACUUUUACAUUAUUACACAUUCAAGCCCUAGUGGCAAUCACAUGAAAGGACAUACUAGAAAUAUAGCAUAGGCCAUAAAGUCAAUUUUGGUGUUUUCACCAAACAUAUAAUUUUUAUAUCUUUUAAAAAAAGAGUUAUUCAUAGGGUAUCAUGGCUUAAUUUUGUUGGAUUCUAAUUGAUGUAGGUAUACAGCAUUCGAAGGAAGCUAUGGAAAGGAAAGGUUGAAGAACAAGAGGAAGGUAAAAAGAAGUUUAUAGAAGGCUUGAAGACUCUAGAAGAUGAGCUUGGAGACAAGCCAUAUUUUGGUGGAGAUGA
rnacentral:lncRNA from 1 species